AGCAGCGUGGCUCAGUGGAAAGAGCACCGACUUGGGAGUCAGAGGUCAUGGGUUUGAAUCCCAGCUCUGCCA
rnacentral:tRNA from 1 species